rnacentral:lncRNA from 1 species
AUUGCGUGUUUUAUUGAUAGAAUUGCAUAAUUUAAUAGCAUGCCUUGCAGAAUUAUUGAUUUGAGGAAUACUUUACAGGAAGCAUGAUGAUUUAAUUAUGAUUGAUUAUAUAUAUUUUUUGAACUAUUUUCAUUAUAUUGUAUUUUCUAUAGAACCCUUAUUCUGGUAGACUAUCUGAUCGAUGACGAUAGGAUGCUAAGAAUGUGUUUCAAAUGACUUUCGAACACCUCUUCGUAGUACAGAGGAUCGAUGAAUUUAUGCUACGAAGCGAUGCCUCUUCGAUUGUUGAAUAAGUAAUCAUGUUGGGAAUCUGGCUUCUUGAGAUUCGGAGAGCGGUGCCUCUUCAAUUUUUGAGCAAGUAAUCCUAUUGAGGAUCUGGCUCUCGAGAUUCGAAAAGCGGUGCCUCUUCGAUUCUUGAGCAAGCAAUCCUGUUGGGGAUAUAGCUCUCGAGAUUCAAAGAGUGGUGCCUCUUCGAUUUUUGAACAAGUAAUCCUAUUAGGGAUCUGGCUCUCGAGAUUCGGAGAGCGAUGCCUCUUCGAUUCUUGAGCAAGCAAUCCUAUUGGGAGUGUUUUCUCGAAUGUGAGGAAAGGUCGGGCAUUUUUGUAAGUCUGCUUUGAUACGGAGCACGGAGGUUGACACGCAUAGGGAAUUUCCAGUUAUCAA